UACGAAGGGGGCUAGCGUUGCUCGGAAUCACUGGGCGUAAAGCGCACGUAGGCGGAUUGUUAAGUCAGGGGUGAAAUCCUGGAGCUCAACUCCAGAACUGCCUUUGAUACUGGCGAUCUCGAGUCCGGGAGAGGUGAGUGGAACUGCGAGUGUAGAGGUGAAAUUCGUAGAUAUUCGCAAGAACACCAGUGGCGGAAGGCGGCUCACUGGCCCGGUACUGACGCUGAGGUGCGAAAGCGUGGGGAGCAACAGG
rnacentral:rRNA from 1 species